UACGUAGGUGGCAAGCGUUGUCCGGAUUUACUGGGUGUAAAGGGCGUGUAGCCGGGCUGACAAGUCAGAUGUGAAAUCCGGGGGCUCAACCCCCGAACUGCAUUUGAAACUGUUGGUCUUGAGUAUCGGAGAGGCAGGCGGAAAUCCUAGUGUAGCGGUGAAAUGCGUAGAUAUUAGGAGGAACACCAGUGGCGAAGGCGGCCUGAUGGACGACAACUGACGGUGAGGCUCGAAAGCGUGGGGAGCAAACAGG
rnacentral:rRNA from 1 species